rnacentral:misc_RNA from 1 species
AACCAUUCUCACCUGCGGCUAGACCUGCGGAAGGAUCAUUACAGAGUUGCAAAACUCCCACAAACCAUCGCGAAUCUUACCCGUACGGUUGCCUCGGCGCUGGCGGUCCGGAAGGCCCUCGGGCCCCCGGACCCUCGGGUCUCCCGCUCGCGGGAGGCUGCCCGCCGGAGUGCCGAAACCAAACUCUUGAUAUUUUAUGUCUCUCUGAGUAAACUUUUAAAUAAGUCAAAACUUUUAGCA